UACGUAGGGAGCAAGCGUUGUCCGGAAUCAUUGGGCGUAAAGCGCGCGUAGGUGGCCUCGUAAGUCCGCUGUGAAAGUCAAAGGCUCAACCUUUGAAAGCCGGUGGAUACUGUGGGGCUAGAGUACGGAAGAGGCGAGUGGAAUUCCUGGUGUAGCGGUGGAAUGCGCAGAUAUCAGGAGGAACACCAAUAGCGAAGGCAGCUCGCUGGGCCGGUCCUGACACUGAGGCGCGAAGGCGUGGGGAGCGAACGGG
rnacentral:rRNA from 1 species